rnacentral:rRNA from 1 species
AUUGAACGCUGGCGGUAGGCCUAACACAUGCAAGUCGAGCGGAGCGGCGGACGGGUGAGUAAUGCCUAGGAAUCUGCCUGGUAGUGGGGGCUAACGUCCGGAAACGGGCGCUAAUACCGCAUACUAUCAGAUGAGCCUAGGUCGGAUUUGCUAGUUGGUGGGGUAAAGGCCUACCAAGGCGACGAUCCGUAACUGGUCAGACAGGAUGAUCAGUCACACUGGACCUGAGACACGGGCCAGACUCCUACGGGAGGGAGCAAUGGGGAAUAUUGGACAAUGGGCGAAAGCCUGAUCCCGCCAUGCUGCGUGUGUGAAGAAGGUCUUCGGAUUGUAAAGCACUUUAAGUGGAGAGGCGUUACCAUCAGAAUAAGCACCGGCUAACUUCGUGCCAGCAGCCGCGGUAAUUC